CGGGACGGGUGAGUAACACGUGAGACCAACCUCGUCCGUUUCGGGAGGGGGAACAACUAGGUUAGGGAAACGGCUGACUAAUACCGCAUAACGUAUUUUGACGGCAUCGUUGAAAUACCAAAGGAGCAAUCCGCCGAAAGAUGGGCUCGCGUCUGAUUAGAUAGUUGGUGAGGUAACGGCUCACCAAGUCGACGAUCAGUAGCCGGACUGAGAGGUUGAACGGCCACAUUGGGACUGAGACACGGCCCAGACUCCUACGGAAGGCAGCAG
rnacentral:rRNA from 1 species